AGUGAACGCUGGCGGUAGGCCUAACACAUGCAAGUCGAACGGCAGCACAGUAAGAGCUUGCUCUUACGGGUGGCGAGUGGCGGACGGGUGAGGAAUACAUCGGAAUCUACUUUUUCGUGGGGGAUAACGUAGGGAAACUUACGCUAAUACCGCAUACGACCUACGGGUGAAAGCAGGGGAUCUUCGGACCUUGCGCGAUUGAAUGAGCCGAUGUCGGAUUAGCUAGUUGGCGGGGUAAAGGCCCACCAAGGCGACGAUCCGUAGCUGGUCUGAGAGGGUGAUCAGCCACACUGGAACUGAGACACGGUCCAGACUCCUACGGGAGGCAGCAGUGGGGAAUAUUGGACAAUGGGCGAAAGCCUGAUCCAGCAAUACCGCGUGGGUGAAGAAGGCCUUCGGGUUGUAAAGCCCUUUUGUUGGGAAAGAAAAGCAGCAGGUUAAUACCCCGCUGUUCUGACGGUACCCAAAGAAUAAGCACCGGCUAACUUCGUG
rnacentral:rRNA from 1 species